GGAGAGAUGGCCGAGUGGUUGAUAGCCCCGGUCUUGAAAACCGGUAUAGUUUGAAACAAAGAACUAUCGAG
rnacentral:tRNA from 1 species